UGGCGUACGGGUGAGUAACACGUGGAUUAUCUACCUUCUAGUGGGGAAUACCUCCGGGAAACUGGAGACAAUACCGCAUAAGCUCGUAAGAGGAAAGCAGCAAUGCGCUGGAAGAGGAGUCCGCGGCUGAUUAGCUAGUUGGCGGGGUAACGGCCCACCAAGGCGAAGAUCGGUAGCCGGCCUGAGAGGGCACACGGCCACACUGGCACUGAAACACGGGCCAG
rnacentral:rRNA from 1 species